rnacentral:rRNA from 1 species
AUACGUAGGGGGCGAGCGUUAUCCGGAUUCAUUGGGCGUAAAGCGCGCGUAGGCGGCCUGCUAGGUCGGGACUCAAAUCCGGGGGCUCAACCCCCGCCCGGUCCCGAUACCGACAGGCUUGAGUCUGGUAGGGGAAGGCGGAAUUCCAAGUGUAGCGGUGGAAUGCGCAGAUAUUUGGAAGAACACCGGUGGCGAAGGCGGCCUUCUGGGCCACGACUGACGCUGAGGCGCGAAAGCUAGGGGAGCGAACAGGAUUAGAUACCCUGGUAGUCCUAGCCGUAAACGAUGGACACUAGGUGGGGGGGGAUGUGCCCUCCGUGCCGCAGCCAACGCAUUAAGUGUCCCGCCUGGGGAGUACGGCCGCAAGGCUAAA